ensembl:lncRNA
ACACAAUAGUUUUAUGAGAAAACAUGUUUUUUGGGGAAACACAAUAGUUUUAUGAGAAAACAUGUUUUUUGGGGAAACACAAUAGUUUUAUGAGAAAACAUGUUUUUUGGGGAAACACAAUAGUUUUAUGAGAAAACAUGUUUUUUGGGGAAACACAAUAGUUUUAUGAGAAAACAUGUUUUUUGGGGAAACACAAUAGUUUUAUGAGAAAACGUUUUUUUGGGGGGAACACAAUAGUUCUAUGAGAAAACAUGUUUUUUGGGGGGGAACACAAUAGUUUUAUGAGAAAACGCAAAUGUCUUGCAAGCGAAAGCAAAGUUUCCCUGGGCAAUUCAAUUGUUUUGAGACAGAAUGGCAAGUUUUUGAUAAAUACCAAAGUUUUACAAGCAAAUGCAAAGUUUCAUGUGGGAAUGCAAUAUUUUUUGCGAGUGAUCACAAAGUUUCUUGUGGGAAUGCCAUGCUUGAACAAUCAUUUUGCAAGAAAACGCAAAUGUUUUGUGAGAGUGCAAGUGCAUGCAAAGUUUAUCAGGGGACUGAAAUGUUUUACAGGUGAAUGCAAUCGAUUUGCGAGAGAACACCAAGUUUCUCUGGGGAAUGCCAUGGUUUUACAUGCGAACGCGUAGUUUCAUAGGGAAUGCAAUACUUUUGCAAGAGAACGCAAAGUUUCUCAGGGGCACGCAACACUUUUACAAGAGAGUGCAAAUCUUUUGAGAGGGAACGUAGUUUUUGGGGGGAAUGCAAUACUUUUCACCAAAACAAGUUGUUUUGUGAGUGAAUACAGAGUUUCUCGGGAUACUCAAAUGUUUUGCAAGAGAACGUCAAGUUUCUGGGGAAUGCAAGCACUUUACAAAAAAAAAAAACAUGUUUUGUAUGAGAAUGACAAGUUUCUCUGGGGAUUGUGACACUUUUGCGAAAGAACCCAAAAGCAUUUUAAAUAUAAUUCUUCCUCCCAUCUCAUAUUUGUUUCCAUCAUGUCCUCUUAUUGGCUCCAUAGUGUUUCGAGUAAAAAAGACUGUGAAUUUUAGAAACGUAUAUCUGCUUUUAGUCAAAUUCCAAAAAUUCUCUAUCCAGACUAAAGUCUGCUAAGGGAAAAAGUCCCUUCUGCGUGACUGAAUAUAUAUAUAACGUUCCUGACAGUCGUGAUCUCCAGAGUGCUCAUACUUUUGCACGUUCCCCAAAGGCCCCCAUGACUCCAGCCGGCAUGAAGCUCAAAGCUCUCACAAUCAUUAAGACACGGUCAC